rnacentral:rRNA from 1 species
GACAGGGGGCCCUAGCGUUGUUCGGAAUCACUGGGCUUAAAGCGCGUGUAGGCGGUCCGGCAAGUGUCUUGUGAAAUCCCCCGUCUCAACCGGGGAACUGCUUGGCAGACUGCCGGACUUGAGGCAGGUAGAGGCGACUGGAACCUUAGGUGGAGCGGUGAAAUGCGUAGAUAUCUAAGGGAACGCCGGUGGCGAAAGCGGGUCGCUGGGCCUGUCCUGACGCUGAGACGCGAAAGCGUAGGGAG